rnacentral:rRNA from 1 species
AGUGAACGCUGGCGGUAGGCCUAACACAUGCAAGUCGAACGGCAGCACAGUAAGAGCUUGCUCUUACGGGUGGCGAGUAGCGGACGGGUGAUGAAUACAUCGGAAUCUACUUUUUCGUGGGUGAUAACGUAGGGAAACUUACGCUAAUACCGCAUACGACCUACGGGUGAAAGCAGGGGAUCUUCGGACCUUGCGCGAUUGUAUGAGCCGAUGUCGGAUUAGCUAGUUGGCGGGGUAAAGGCCCACCAAGGCGACGAUCCGUAGCUGGUCUGAGAGGAUGAUCAGCCACACUGGAACUGAGACACGGUCCAGACUCCUACGGGAGGCAGCAGUGGGGAAUAUUGGACAAUGGGCGAAAGCCUGAUCCAGCCAUACCGCGUGGGUGAAGAAGGCCUUCGGGUUGUAAAGCACUUUUGUUGGGGAAGAAAAGCAGCAGGUUAAUACCCCGCUGUUCUGACGGUACCCAAAGAAUAAGCACCGGCUAACUUCGUG